CAUUAUGAGUGUGUGUGUUGCCCGUCUGUCUCUCGCCCUAGCAGGUGAGUGCGACCAUAUGGCAAAUACAGUCAGGCUUCCUGGGGGACGGCAGGGCUCCUACGUGUGCUGCAGGCCCGCUGGGUGACGCCCACCAUGUGGCAAAUACAGCAGUGAGUUCUGUGGUGCAGAGGGGCUAAUUAUGUGUGUGUUUCCCCAGAGACACGGAGUGCUGGGUCUGACCGUGCAUGUCUCACUAAUGCAAACCUGAGACAAAACCUUCAUCACAUGUCCUCGGUGCAGGCUGCAAGCCUACAGAAGCGAGGUUAGGCGUGGGACAGGCAGCGUCACAAGUGCAGGCACACAUCCUUGAGUCACUGGUAUUUGCAUACAUGGACAGACACGAGGGAUGAGCACACUCCAAACUGAGUGGCUAACUGAAAUGGGAAGUGUGGGUGCAAUGCUAAGCAAUGGAAAUGGGCAGGACUGUUUAUGGCUACAUAAACAUUGAUGUGUUUGCUUACUUACAGCUAAUAAAUUAAUGUUACCACUGAGACCAGUGACCUGUUUGUGAAACACUCCAAGCCUGAAAAUCAAGCUUUUUCAAGAGAAAGAAGUUGUUGCAGAUCUGUCAGCAAGGCUCUGGGAGUAGGAGGAUGUUUGGAUUUCCGGCAUAUUGCAACAGAGUUCUUGGCCACGAGCAAAGCUAUGUGUGUGAAUCUCAUUUUAUAUCCGUUGUUUGCAAUACCA
rnacentral:lncRNA from 1 species